rnacentral:rRNA from 1 species
AGCGAACGCUGGCGGCAGGCCUAACACAUGCAAGUCGAACGAAGUCUUCGGACUUAGUGGCGGACGGGUGAGUAACACGUGGGAACGUGCCUUUAGGUUCGGAAUAACUCAGGGAAACUUGUGAUAAUACCGAAUGUGCCCUUCGGGGGAAAGAUUUAUCGCCUUUAGAGCGGCCCGCGUCUGAUUAGCUAGUUGGUGAGGUAAAGGCUCACCAAGGCUACGAUCAGUAGCUGGUCUGGGAGGAUGACCAGCCACAUUGGGACUGAGACACGGCCCAAACUCCUACGGGAGGCAGCAGUGGGGAAUCUUGCGCAAUGGGCGAAAGCCUGACGCAGCCAUGCCGCGUGGAUGAUGAAGGUCUUAGGAUUGUAAAAUCCUUUCACCGGUGAAGAUAAUGACUGUAGCCGGAGAAGAAGCCCCGGCUAACUUCGUGCCAGCCGCCGCGGUAACAC